CCUACGGGAGGCAGCAGUAGGGAAUCUUCCACAAUGGGCGAAAGCCUGAUGGAGCAACGCCGCGUGGGUGAAGAAGGUCCUCGGAUCGUAAAACCCUGUUGUUAGAGAAGAAAGUGCGUGAGAGUAACUGUUCACGUUUCGACGGUAUCUAACCAGAUAGCCUCGGCUAACUACGUCCCAGCAGCCGCGGUAAUACGUAGGAGGCAAGCGUUAUCCGGAUUUAUUGGGCGUAAAGGGAACGCAGGCGGUCUGUUAAGUCUGAUGUGAAAGCUUUCGGCUUAACCGGAGUAGUGCAUUGGAUACUGGGAGACUUGAGUGCAGAAGAGGAGAGUGGAACUCGAGGUGUAGCGGUGAAAUGCGUAGAUAUAUGGAAGAACACCAGUGGCGAAAGCGGCUCUCUGGUCUGUAACUGACGCUGAGGUUCGAAAGCGUGGGUAGCAAACAGGAUUAGAUACCCGAGUAGUC
rnacentral:rRNA from 1 species